AGUGUGCAGUGCAAUGGCGAUUGCAUCGUCUGUGGAUCUAUUGGGGCGAUAAGCAAACUGAAGUGGGUCUAGGGUGUCAGCUAAGGUAGAGGUGAUAUGAUCCUUAACUAGGCAUCUCAAAGCACUUCAUGAUGACAGAACUGAGUGCUAUGGGGUCAUUCAGUUCAGUUACCUUUUGCGUUCUUGGGUAGAGGAACAAUGGUGGACAUCGUGCAGCAAGUUUGGACAGCAACUGCCUCUUCUCCCACCUGCUAUUCCUCUUUCCCUCUGUUUCUCCCCGUCACCCACGACGCUGCCUGUCCUGUGUGUCUCAAUGUUUUUGGAGAGGUGCAGGACCCAAGGUUAUUCUCAGGCUUGCUCAUUAAGUGUGUGGUGCAGCUGGAGCUGAUCCAGACCAUAGACAAUGUGGUCUUCUAACCCGCCAGCAGCAGGAAGGAGGAUGCAGAGAACCUGGCUGCUGCACAGAGAGACCCAGUAGAUGCAGACGUCUUGUUGAAGGCCCAGGACAAGGGAAUGUACCGCUAUCUGACCUCAGAUCAGCUCUUCAAACUGCUGGACUGUCUGCUAGAGUCCCACCGCUUCGCCAAGGCCUUCAACUCCAACAACAGGCAGAGGACUGUCCUGUGGAAGGCAGUGGGUGUAGUGAGGCCCUGGGCUACUUCCUCACGCUGACAUCAGAGAGCCACCGGGAAGCCUGGAUCAAUCUCUUCCUCACCAAGGUGGUGAAGAUCAGCAAUGACAAGUUCAAGGCCCAUGCAUCCAGAUACUACCCACUCCUCUGUGAGAUCAUGCAGUUUGACCUGAUCCCAGAACUCCGGGGCCGUGCUGCGUAAAGUUCUUUCAACGCCUUCGACAUCUCACUGCUGCCCAGUCCCAGAGCGGAGCUAGGGCUUGCUGGAAGCUAGUGACAUCAUCACUAGUGGACCAGCACAGGAUACAGGCUCCAAAGACAGUCCCGCUCUGGGGUGGGAGAGGGAAAGUUUGCAUCCCAAAUGGCACCCUAUUUCCUACAUAGUGCACUAUAUAGGGGAUAUGGUGCCAUUUGGAACAUAGAUGAUGUUUAACCCUCUGAACUCUGCCCCUCUGAGGGCUGCAAGGGAUUCUUAAAGUGGACUGGUUAGCUGAGAGUGACGGGGCCCGCAGAAAGGUACUGGAAGCUCCUCCAUGCUGCACACAGUGAUAGUGUAGUGAGUGGGGCCCACAAAGGCACUGAAUGAAUGGGUGCAGUAUGGCAUAGAAAUAUCAUACUAAUGAUCAGAAUAACAAUGCAAUUAUUUUACUAAUUUCUCUCCGUCUGACCAACAUUAUGGAGGGUGUGCUUUUUGCUUUUCUUGGAAUUUUUUUAUGAAACUGAGGUGUGAAAAGGAUGAGUAACGUUAAUUUAAAUGUUACAGUAAAAAAAAAAUGUUUUAAACAAUUUGAAUUUGCUAAAUAAUUUUAGCUGCACUGUCACUACACGUAUGGUCAUUUUCAAAAA